rnacentral:rRNA from 1 species
GAUGAACGCUGGCGGCGUGCCUAACACAUGCAAGUCGAACGAAGCACCUUACCUGAUUCUUCGGAUGAAAGUUUGGUGACUGAGUGGCGGACGGGUGAGUAACGCGUGGGUAACCUGCCCUGUACAGGGGGAUAACAGCUGGAAACGGCUGCUAAUACCGCAUAAGCGCACGAGGAGACAUCUCCUUGUGUGAAAAACUCCGGUGGUACAGGAUGGGCCCGCGUCUGAUUAGCUGGUUGGCAGGGUAACGGCCUACCAAGGCAACGAUCAGUAGCCGGUCUGAGAGGAUGAACGGCCACAUUGGAACUGAGACACGGUCCAAACUCCUACGGGAGGCAGCAGUGGGGAAUAUUGCACAAUGGAGGAAACCCUGAUGCAGCAACGCCGCGUGAGUGAAGAAGUAUUUCGGUAUGUAAAGCUCUAUCAGCAGGGAAGAUAAUGACGGUACCUGACGAAGAAGCUCCGGCUAAAUACGUG